AUUGAACGCUGGCGGCAUGCUUUACACAUGCAAGUCGAACGGCAGCGCGGGCUUCGGCCUGGCGGCGAGUGGCGAACGGGUGAGUAAUGCAUCGGAACGUGCCCAGUAGUGGGGGAUAGCCCGGCGAAAGCCGGAUUAAUACCGCAUACGACCUGAGGGUGAAAGCGGGGGACCGAAAGGCCUCGCGCUAUUUGAGCGGCCGAUGUCGGAUUAGCUAGUUGGUGGGGUAAAGGCUUACCAAGGCGACGAUCCGUAGCUGGUCUGAGAGGACGACCAGCCACACGGGGACUGAGACACGGCCCAGACUCCUACGGGAGGCAGCAGUGGGGAAUUUUGGACAAUGGGGGCAACCCUGAUCCAGCCAUGCCGCGUGCGGGAAGAAGGCCUUCGGGUUGUAAACCGCUUUUGUUCGGGAAGAAAUCCUCUGGGCUAAUACCCCGGGGGGAUGACGGUACCGGAAGAAUAAGCACCGGCUAACUACGUG
rnacentral:rRNA from 1 species